UACGGGGGGAGCAAGCGUUGUUCGGAUUUACUGGGCGUAAAGGGCGCGUAGGCGGCCACUGCAAGUCACUUGUGAAAUCUCCGGGCUUAACUCGGAAAGGUCAACUGAUACUCCAGGGCUAGAGUGCGGAAGGGGCAACUGGAAUUCUCGGUGUAGCGGUGAAAUGCGUAGAUAUCGAGAGGAACACCUGCGGCGAAGGCGGGUUGCUGGGCUGAUACUGACGCUGAGGCGCGAAAGCCAGGGGAGCGAACGGG
rnacentral:rRNA from 1 species